UGGAUAAAAUGCAGUGCAGCACUGAAGAUAAGACAUCGCAGUUGUUACGACGCCUGGUUCUCCACCAAAUUCCUCUGUCAUUCCAGCAAGAGUGGAAGCAGAGGGGCAGGGGCAGGGGCAGGAUGAGGGCUGCUGCCCUGGUGAUGAGCUUGCCCCAUCCCUGGGCACUGGCUCUGCCCAGCCCCUCCCAUGUUGGUCCCAUCUGUCAGGUUGCCAGGCCAAGCAGGUCUCAGGUCAGCCAGGUCUCAAGGAGGAUAAGGGGGUUCAACGUCAGCGACUUGGCCCACGGGGCACGGGCACCUUGGGGAUGCCAUUCUUCUUGGUGCCAGAAGGCAGCUGCAUCUCCAGAAGCUCCCCCAGCACUGAGCUCACUUAGUGGCAUCCUUCUUAAACAGCAUCUGCUUUUAAGUAAGCAGCUAUUCCAAAACAUGCCGUGAUUCAUGUAAUUUUUGAGUGGUUACUUUGGUGCAGUUUGUCAAUUUGCUCUACCAUACUGUUUUUUGAUUAUUUGUUUGUUUUCUAGUGUAAAUAGCACAGCCCACAUAAAUGAGCGAAACUCAUCAUCUGAGGAUCUUUGAUUAUUCUUCCCCACUUAUUGUACAUUGAUGUGCCGCCUGCUAGGAAGAUAAACUCCCUCUUUGCUCACUCUGAGCCAGGAUCUCUGUGUUAGUUACACUCAGCCUUAUCUGAGCAUUCCAGGGAGGUCUUAAAUGAAUGUUUGGGGUUUUGAAACAUGCUACCAGCCCUUCCUUCCAAAGAGCAUGAAGCAUGGCUCUGUGUGGUUUUGUGUGUCUAGGUUUAGAGCUUGUAUUUGGAUGUAAGGAGUGACUAAAAACAGGUCUAGGCAGAGAACUGCUAUCUUUUAAACCACCCCAGCCCUCAGUCGAACAGAAAGAAUGAGCGUCUUCUGAUGUCAAAUCAUUCUAGAAAGGUCUUAGCUAGUGAGCACAAAGUAGCCAAUCCCGGGAGUUUAUAUGGGCCUCCAUGUGACCAAGCCAUCCCUAGCUAGGAAACUUAACUCUUUGCACAACCUCCCUUUAUGCUGAAGGGCCCUUGGGAACAUGGGAACAUUUGCACUUUGUCAGAGGAGUGGCCCCACCCUACUCUCUGCCUGAAACACAAAGCAGCUCCCCUCAGAACAGCCAGCCCGGUGCAGAAGCACUUGAACUUCUCAUCUUCCAUCUUAUUUCACUUUGGUUGCAGGGAGUUAAAUACAUAGGCCACAGCAGACUAAGGGAGCGGUGUGCACAAUGGCCCCCAGAAUAUCCAGUGACCCAAGUGAUGUUAGUCUUAGGGUCCCUAAGGCAGUAGGGCAUGGGGAGGAAAGUUCUCUCCAUCGAUUCCCAAACACACCAGCCACAAGUCCACACUCCACACCUGUAAACGCACAGCCCAUGCCCCAUUGUAAAGGUGACUGAAGAGAAUGGUCAACUCGGUGGUGAUGGGCCUGUUUUGGAGCUAAAAGCAUAAAAUGAAUCCUCCCUGUAGCUCCAUUGCCUUUUCCUCGUGAAGGAUUCCCUGCUAAAUGUUCUAAGAGUUACUGUACAUAGAAUCAAGAGAGCAGUUUUGAAUGAGCCGUAAAUCUGAGUCAUAUAUAAGAGGCAUAAUAUAAAUUGGGCCAAGCUUGCCCAUGUGGGACACACAGGUUUAUAGAGAUUAAACACUAGUGAGUAGCGGGGGAAGGGAACAGUGACUGUAUAAAUGGCCAUAUAAAUGACCUACUUGUCUUCUCAUGUAGGCUGGAAUCAGAACCUACGUAUGCUGUAGAUAACAGUCAAUUAAAUGGGUUAAUGUUCUAAGCCAAGAGAGUUCUAAGCCAAGACAUGUGCUUGGGACUGGAUUAACUCUUGUCAAUAUCUUGGAUUCCAUAGUAAAACAUCUGUUAAGUAACAUGCGGCAGGAAAGGAUGCAGGGAGCAUUGGACUGUAGGAAAUUCUCCUUUAUACAAGUUAAUUAGUUUUGUCUCUGGUGGCUGUCUCUUAAAACAGAAUCCCCUGGAGACCCGGGUUUUCAUUUUGUAAUUCAACACCCAAAUAUUUGCAACACUAAAUAACAACUCCCUAAAGACUUCAGUCUUGCAUGGGCAUAAGCAACUCACACUGGUUAGCUUUUGUCAGAUUUCGUCGUUUCCGCAGCAAAAUUUCUUAGUGUUGAUGUUGAUAGCUUCUGGGUUGGCAAACUGGCAGUUCACUCUAGUCUUACUGGGUUGGGCAAGUCCUUGCCCCUAGAAAAUUGGGGAUAGCUUUGGCCAUGGGAGGAGCAAGAACACUACGCAGUCGUAAGCUCUGUUUUUUGUUUUGUUUUGUUUUGUUUUGUUUUCGGCACCAUUAUGUACGAUGAAGACUUACAGCCACUGCUAAUACAGCAUAGGGGACACUUUGAGGAGCCCUAGUAUCAUUGUUUGAAAUCAUUGUACAGGGAACUGCAGGGGUGAACACCAUUGUACCAAUCCCCGGGCCAGUGUCUCAUUUCCUAACAGAAUCAUCCCAUUCUUGUUCACUCUUCAGUCAUCCCAAGCCAAAAGGGAAAAUUCGAAACCCACUGUGACACCCCAACCCUAAUUUCCAACCUUUGGAGGACUCACCUGGGGCAGAAGGGAGAAAGGGCUUUGCUGAAGUCUCAGGCUGCCGAGAGCCAUGUAUGGGCAUAGGAGCAAGCUGAUGGCAUGGCUCUUGACAAGGUUUUCUAUAGGGCAGCAGCUGCUGCUCCCAGGGGAACCCUCUCCUGUUGCCUCCGCAGUCUAUUCUGGGGUGGAAACACCAUUCUCUAUUAUUUCUCUCACAUACAUGUGGAUUUCUAAUAUCAAGUUAUGUGACUGCCUACCACUUAAGGCCUACAAAACCACAUGGGAGUUUCUUUAUUGCGUAUGCAGCCAGUCAACAUGAAUGGGACCCUAGAAACUGUGAGGAGCAGGAUUCUCUAAGGUGCUCUUAGAUACGGUGUCACUUCCACAUACAAGCACAAUUCUCCCAGUUAAGGGGCUGGAAGACAAGCGGGGCAACUGGUUUUGAAAAGCCCGCUGGCGUGCCAGAGGGGGUGUUUGCCCACACCCUCCUUGAAUUUAACUGCCACAAUCUAUCCGCAGAUGUGUUUUGUUCUAUUUCUUGUUUUUCACUAGCGUUUGCGUUGCUUCCUCUGAAGCCAGAGGGUGAAAGGCCCUAGCAAAGUUAGUUAUCAGUCAACUGAUGAUAACUGUGAUCCUUAAAGAUGAAUUCCCAGCCUGAGGUGACACACAGAGGUUCAGCAGACGUCUCAGGAUCUGUCAUAUGUCAUGUUGCUUGGUGUGAAGAUGGAAGAACAAAGUCCACAUCAGUUUCUGCUCCUUCAAACAGUGUGUCGAUAUGAAACAUUGAGAUUUGGCAGAAACAUGUGCCUAGUUUGCAGCACCAAAUACUGGUCUUCUCAGAAGUGUUUCUGUUUUUUUGUUUUUGUUUUUGUUUUUGUUUUUGUUUUUGUUUUGUUUAAUUUCCUCUUCUGGCAUCCCAAUUUGGAUCAUUUCCUCUCUUUCUUUCCUGGAGAAACAGGAUGGCAGGUGCUGGAGCCCAGAGAGGGGGUCACCCUCCAGCUAAAAUGAUUUAAAUGGAAAGGAGAAUGACAGCAAAGCCUCACGUGAACUUUAAUGACCUUAUCAAUGACCUUUACUAACUGACUCUUGGUACCCGGAUUGUUGAGAGGUGAGUGGGACUAAAAGCCAGGAUCAAGAUCAGGUUGCUCCACACAUUUGCAGAUCAGGAACCCCGGGAAUAUGAGUUAGACCCAGAAAGUAUUGAACUGGACAUUGAAUGAAGCUUGAGGCCAUGCAUUGAUAACAUUUUUAGAGUCUGUUACAUUAUUUUCUCAAAAGGAACACAUGUUUACUACAAACCAUUUAGAAAAUACCAAUAACCAAACAGAAGGGAAAUGUCUGGAACCUUCCAGUUGUUUAAUUCUGUAGAAACUGUUCACGAAAGGCUGAAUGAGUGGGGACAAGUCACAGAGAUCUCGCCAUGGUUAGCACCAGGGACAAGUCUGGCUCUAAUGUAUGUUUUAUGAAGUCUGAUUAGCUUUGAAAUGCAUCUUUGCCAGCUGAACUUGUCAUGCACUAAACUUCCCAUUGAUCAUUAGAGUGUCUACGAUUAAGUGGAAAAGGUGGUCAACCAUUUGGAUGUUUGACUUUCACAACAUCAAGCAUUGGCCAUUGGGCGUAUCUGGGCAUUGGUAUGGAAUAAACAGGAUACUCAGUGAAACAUCCAAACUAUUGACUGGAUUUUUCCCAUGGGGCAUCUGUCUAAGAGUCACAGAUCUGAGAAAUAGAAGGACCAGGUCCGUGUGGAUGCUCCUAGUGCGUUCAAAUAACCCUUGAAUUCACCAGGUCUCAUUGCAUUUAUUUAAAGAUGGAGCCCAUUGUCCCCCCUCCUCCUCAGCUCACCCAUGGAACUAGAAAUUCACAAACCUGAAGCUGAACCACAGGACAAGAAAUUAAACAGCAACGGCCACAUGGCCUCUUUUUUCACAGGUUUUGCAUUGAAUGUUUUAGAACUUUAUUCCCCCGCCCCCUCACCCAUGUAUACCAAAACUGGUUUUAUUUUCAUUUUCCUAAAUUAUUUUCUGAUACAAUAAACUGUUAACUGUUUAUUUAUACUUUU
rnacentral:lncRNA from 1 species